rnacentral:piRNA from 1 species
UAAAAUUUUUUUAAACAAUCA